CUACGGGCGGCUGCAGUGGGGAAUAUUGGACAAUGGGCGAAAGCCUGAUCCAGCCAUGCCGCGUGUGUGAAGAAGGCCUUCGGGUUGUAAAGCACUUUCAGUGGGGAAGAAAGCCUUGGGGCUAAUACCCUCGAGGAAGGACAUCACCCACAGAAGAAGCACCGGCUAACUCCGUGCCAGCAGCCGCGGUAAUACGGAGGGUGCGAGCGUUAAUCGGAAUUACUGGGCGUAAAGCGCGCGUAGGCGGUCUGAUAAGCCGGUUGUGAAAGCCCCGGGCUCAACCUGGGAACGGCAUCCGGAACUGUCAGGCUAGAGUGCAGGAGAGGAAGGUAGAAUUCCCGGUGUAGCGGUGAAAUGCGUAGAGAUCGGGAGGAAUACCAGUGGCGAAGGCGGCCUUCUGGACUGACACUGACGCUGAGGUGCGAAAGCGUGGGUAGCAAACAGGAUUAGAUACCCGGGUAGUC
rnacentral:rRNA from 1 species